CCCAAGUGCCAUGUCACAAAAACAAUUAACUACAGGAUCCAGAUCCAGCCUUCUCAAUUAUGCUGUUUGAUUCCAUUUUGGAAUGAGAGAAAAAAUUAAAGCAAUAAAAGGAAACCUCUCAUCAGGCAUACUCUGAAGUGCACCCACUCAGCAUCUGUGAAGAUGAUCAUAUAACUUCUUUCUUUUUAUCUACUGAUGCAACAAAUGAUGAGGCGGACCUGUGUCCUAAGGCAGC